rnacentral:tRNA from 1 species
AGCUCCGCGGUGUCAGACACGUCAGAUUGCAAACCUGAAGGAGUAGGCUCAUCAGCCUACCGGGGCUU